UACGUAGGGUGCAAGCGUUGUCCGGAAUUAUUGGGCGUAAAGAGCUCGUAGGCGGCUUGUCACGUCGGAUGUGAAAAUCCAGGGCUCAACCCUGGACCUGCAUUCGAUACGGGCAGGCUAGAAUUCGGUAGGGGAGUCUGGAAUUCCUGGUGUAGCGGUGAAAUGCGCAGAUAUCAGGAGGAACACCGGUGGCGAAGGCGGGACUCUGGGCCGAUAUUGACGCUGAGGAGCGAAAGCGUGGGGAGCGAAC
rnacentral:rRNA from 1 species